rnacentral:rRNA from 1 species
CUCAGGAUGAACACUGGCGGCGUGCUAAUACAUGCAAGUCGAGCGAACGGACGAGAAGCUUGCUUCUCUGAUGUUAGCGGCGGACGGGUGAGUAACACGUGGAUAACCUACCUAUAAGACUGGGAUAACUUCGGGAAACCGGAGCUAAUACCGGAUAAUAUUUUGAACCGCAUGGUUCAAAAGUGAAAGACGGUCUUGCUGUCACUUAUAGAUGGAUCCGCGCUGCAUUAGCUAGUUGGUAAGGUAACGGCUUACCAAGGCAACGAUGCAUAGCCGACCUGAGAGGGUGAUCGGCCACACUGGAACUGUGACACGGUCCAGACUCCUACGGGAGGCAGCAGUAGGGAAUCUUCCGCAAUGGGCGAAAGCCUGACGGAGCAACGCCGCGUGAGUGAUGAAGGUCUUCGGAUCGUAAAACUCUGUUAUUAGGGAAGAACAUAUGUGUAAGUAACUGUGCACAUCUUGACGGUACCUAAUCAGAAAGCCACGGCUAACUACGUGCCAGCAGCCGCGGUAAUACGUAGGUGGCAAGCGUUAUCCGGAAUUAUUGGGCGUAAAGCGCGCGUAGGCGGUUUUUUAAGUCUGACGUGAAAGCCCACGGCUCAACCGUGGAGGGUCAUUGGAAACUGGAAAACUUGAGUGCAGAAGAGGAAAGUGGAAUUCCAUGUGUAGCGGUGAAAUGCGCAGAGAUAUGGAGGAACACCAGUGGCGAAGGCGACUUUCUGGUCUGUAACUGACGCUGAUGUGCGAAAGCGUGGGGAUCAAACAGGAUUAGAUACCCUGGUAGUCCACGCCGUAAACGAUGAGUGCUAAGUGUUAGGGGGUUUCCGCCCCUUAGUGCUGCAGCUAACGCAUUAAGCACUUCCGCCUGGGGAGUACGACCGCAAGGU